rnacentral:rRNA from 1 species
GAUGAACGCUGGCGGCGUGCCUAAUACAUGCAAGUCGAGCGAACAGACGAGGAGCUUGCUCCUCUGACGUUAGCGGCGGACGGGUGAGUAACACGUGGAUAACCUACCUAUAAGACUGGGAUAACUUCGGGAAACCGGAGCUAAUACCGGAUAAUAUAUUGAACCGCAUGGUUCAAUAGUGAAAGACGGUUUUGCUGUCACUUAUAGAUGGAUCCGCGCCGCAUUAGCUAGUUGGUAAGGUAACGGCUUACCAAGGCAACGAUGCGUAGCCGACCUGAGAGGGUGAUCGGCCACACUGGAACUGAGACACGGUCCAGACUCCUACGGGAGGCAGAAGUAGGGAAUCUUCCGCAAUGGGCGAAAGCCUGACGGAGCAACGCCGCGUGAGUGAUGAAGGUCUUCGGAUCGUAAAACUCUGUUAUUAGGGAAGAACAAAUGUGUAAGUAACUAUGCACGUCUUGACGGUACCUAAUCAGAAAGCCACGGCUAACUACGUG